GUCACUGAUCUCAUGUGAUUGGCCGAUUCCGGGGGCAGCGGGGCGGGGGGAGCACUAAUAAUUAUUAUUUACAUUAUUUUAUUAUGCGCCUGCCCGUCCCCCAGUAACGCACAGCUGCUGCCAAGUGCAGUCCGACCUGAGGGGGAGGAACGGCCGCGAUUCCUUCUCCUCUCACAUGCAACUGCCAUACCUGAGCUGCGGUGACAGAAGAGGACCUCACUGGGUGCCGGGGUGUCUGUGCUGUACUCCCCCAGUGACCCAGAGCACAGAAGCAGCAGCAGCCUCUCAGCCUCCCUGGCUCUGAGUUCCCAGUUCCCCCAGUCUGCAGCAGGCGGCUGGGGAUCAGAGACAGCGGGUAGGUGGGCGUCCGGCACUUAGCACCAGACUCCGGCCGCAGCACCAGUGCCGGAUUUAAAGCAGGACGUGUAGGGAUCAAUGUGCUCGGUACUCUACUCCCAUGCCUGGGGGCUCUGCUCCAUACUCUUCUAGCCCAGCCCAGGCUGCUGGCUGACUGCAGCUUCGGCAGAAUUAAGAUGGUGGCUGAGGGCAUGAUCCUCCACAUCACAACAGGGGGCACUGACAGGUUGGUGCCGUGAAGGUGGGGGAGGAGUGGGGUGGCUGAGCACUGUCUUCCACUCUGAUGUCCCUCCAGCGCACCCCCUCUCAACCGUCUAAAGCCCUGAUGGGAUUCAAGGAGCCUGCCAAAGCCACUGUACAUCCUGGGGCAUCUGUCCGGAAAGAGAAUGCGGCCUCCUCCCAGAGACCUCCAGACUGUAAAGCAGACCAUGAAAAUGAAAAACUUCUUUAUAGAUACAGAAUAAUGUACCAGUAUUCUAUUUGUGCUGUUGGUAACUGGAGAAAAAAAAUGCAAGAUACAGUACAGUACUUAAGAAAAAUCUGUUGAAUGGAAACAUUAUCAUGACAACCUUUUCAAAAUGACAAUGUAUACUGAACCCAGUGGAGGACAUCCGCAAGUGCACCUGGACCAGGCAUCCCCCACCUAUUCAAACCGACCUAUGACCCCUCAUGUACUGUAAAUGACCAGCCCAUUGACCUAUGAAAGAAGAGAUUACAAUUUCCUUUGUUUCAUGCUUUGGACUACUGUAUAAAAGCCAAGCCUCCUGGCCGGUCUCAGUCUAACUCUCUGAAGGUCAUCUUUCCAAAUUGACUGAGGACCGGAUCCGGGUCGUGCAGGCGAACAAACGAGACACUCCUUUUACAAGUAUUCCACUGGCUGUGCAUCUGCAUCAUCAUUCAAAUGCUGGUCAAAUAAAAUGGACUCAGAAAAAGUAAAUGUAGUUCUCUGAGUUAAUAUGGCCAAAUUAACAGUCUCUGCCAUGUCUGUAAUCUCCACCGUGUUCAAAUCCACCAUGUACUAUGGCCUAAAGUGUAUCAGACUUAGAAACGUUGAAAUAAAUCCUGCUUCUGCUGAGUGUUCUACCUGA